AUUGAACGCUGGCGGCAGGCCUAACACAUGCAAGUCGAACGAGUGGCGGACGGGUGAGUAAUGUCUGGGAAACUGCCCGAUGGAGGGGGAUAACUACUGGAAACGGUAGCUACUACCGCAUACCAUCGGAUGUGCCCAGCUGGGAUUAUCUAGUUGUGGGGGUAAAGGCUUACCAAGGCGACGAUCCGUAGCUGGUCUGAGAGGAUGACCAGUCACACUGGAACUGAGACACGGUCCAGACUCAUACGGGAGGCAGCAGUGGGGAAUAUUGCACAAUGGGCGAAAGCCGGAUGCAGCCAUGCCGCGUGUAUGAAGAAGGUCUUCGGGUUGUAAAGUACUUUCAGCGGGGAUGCGUUACCCGCAGAAGAAGCACCGGCUAACUCCGUGCCAGCAGCCGCGGUAAUUC
rnacentral:rRNA from 1 species